CAGCCGCCGCGGGAAUACGAGGGGGGCAAGCGUUGUCCGGAAUUAUUGGGCGUAAAGGGUGCGUAGGCGGUUUGGUAAGUCUUGUGUGAAAUCUCCGGGCUCAACUCGGAGUCUGCAUAGGAAACUGCCGGGCUUGAGUGUGGGAGAGGUGAGUGGAAUUUCCGGUGUAGCGGUGAAAUGCGUAGAUAUCGGAAGGAACACCUGUGGCGAAAGCGGCUCACUGGACCACAACUGACGCUGAUGCACGAAAGCUAGGGGAGCAAACAGGAUUAGAUACCCCAGUAGUCCCUGUCUCUUAUAC
rnacentral:rRNA from 1 species